rnacentral:rRNA from 1 species
UACGUAGGGUCCGAGCGUUGUCCGGAAUUACUGGGCGUAAAGAGCUCGUAGGCGGUCUGUUGCGUCCGCUGUGAAAACUCGGGGCUUAACCCCGAGCCUGCAGUGGAUACGGGCAGACUAGAGGUAGGUAGGGGAGACUGGAAUUCUUGGUGUAGCGGUGAAAUGCGUAGAUAUCAAGAGGAACACCUGAGGUGAAGACGGGUUGCUGGGCCGACACUGACGCUGACAGCGCGAAAGCCAGGGGAGCAAACGGG